AGGGGAGGUUCCAACCAACAAGAACUGCUAAUCCUUGCCUCUGGACAUAAAACCCCAGCCCCCUU
rnacentral:tRNA from 1 species